UACGGCCGCAUCACGUUGAAACACCGGUUUCCGUACGACCACCGAAGUUAAGCAAUAUCGAGCUUGGUCAGUACCUAGAUGGGUGAACCCUUGAGAAUACCAGAUAUUGUA